CGUAGGUGGCAAGCGUUGUCCGGAUUUAUUGGGUUUAAAGGGUGCGUAGGCGGUCUAUUAAGUCAGUGGUGAAAUACUCUAGCUCAACUAGAGGGGUGCCAUUGAUACUGAUGGACUUGAGUACAGAUGAGGUAGGCGGAAUUGACGGUGUAGCGGUGAAAUGCUUAGAUAUCGUCAAGAACACCUAUAGCGAAGGCAGCUUACUAGGCUGUAACUGACGCUGAGGCACGAAAGUGUGGGGAUCAAACAGGAUUAGAUACCCUGGUAGUCCACACUGUAAACGUUGAUUACUCGCUGUCGUGCGAUAUACAGUACGCGGCCAAGCGAAAGCGAUAAGUAAUCCACCUGGGGAGUACGCCGGCAACGGUG
rnacentral:rRNA from 1 species